AUAAUGAUACUCCUGUCCAGUCACAGCUUGCAGGCAAUGAGGGCAGUUCGGAGAGAACCUCGGGAGGGUUGAAAUACCCGUGA
ncrna:unclassified sequences pemK RNA